UUAAGUUAUUAAGGGCGCACGGUGGAUGCCUUGGCACUAGAAGCCGAUGAAGGACGUUACUAACGACGAUAUGCUUUGGGGAGCUGUAAGUAAGCUUUGAUCCAGAGAUUUCCGAAUGGGGAAACCCAGCAUGAGUUAUGUCAUGUUAUCGAUAUGUGAAUACAUAGCAUAUCAGAAGGCACACCCGGAGAACUGAAACAUCUUAGUACCCGGAGGAAGAGAAAGAAAAUUCGAUUCCCUUAGUAGCGGCGAGCGAAACGGGAAGAGCCCAAACCAACAAGCUUGCUUGUUGGGGUUGUAGGACACUCUGUACGGAGUUACAAAGGACGACAUUAGACGAAUCAUCUGGAAAGAUGAAUCAAAGAAGGUAAUAAUCCUGUAGUCGAAAAUGUUGUCUCUCUUGAGUGGAUCCUGAGUACGACGGAGCACGUGAAAUUCCGUCGGAAUCUGGGAGGACCAUCUCCUAAGGCUAAAUACUCUCUAGUGACCGAUAGUGAACCAGUACCGUGAGGGAAAGGUGAAAAGCACCCCGGAAGGGGAGUGAAAUAGAACCUGAAACCGUGUGCUUACAAGUAGUCAGAGCCCGUUAAUGGGUGAUGGCGUGCCUUUUGUAGAAUGAACCGGCGAGUUACGAUUUGAUGCAAGGUUAAGCAGUAAAUGUGGAGCCGUAGCGAAAGCGAGUCUGAAUAGGGCGUUUAGUAUUUGGUCGUAGACCCGAAACCAGGUGAUCUACCCUUGGUCAGGUUGAAGUUCAGGUAACACUGAAUGGAGGACCGAACCGACUUACGUUGAAAAGUGAGCGGAUGAACUGAGGGUAGCGGAGAAAUUCCAAUCGAACCUGGAGAUAGCUGGUUCUCUCCGAAAUAGCUUUAGGGCUAGCCUCAAGUGAUGAUUAUUGGAGGUAGAGCACUGUUUGGACGAGGGGCCCCUCUCGGGUUACCGAAUUCAGACAAACUCCGAAUGCCAAUUAAUUUAACUUGGGAGUCAGAACAUGGGUGAUAAGGUCCGUGUUCGAAAGGGAAACAGCCCAGACCACCAGCUAAGGUCCCAAAAUAUAUGUUAAGUGGAAAAGGAUGUGGCGUUGCCCAGACAACUAGGAUGUUGGCUUAGAAGCAGCCAUCAUUUAAAGAGUGCGUAAUAGCUCACUAGUCGAGUGACACUGCGCCGAAAAUGUACCGGGGCUAAACAUAUUACCGAAGCUGUGGAUUGUCCUUUGGACAAUGGUAGGAGAGCGUUCUAAGGGCGUUGAAGCAUGAUCGUAAGGACAUGUGGAGCGCUUAGAAGUGAGAAUGCCGGUGUGAGUAGCGAAAGACGGGUGAGAAUCCCGUCCACCGAUUGACUAAGGUUUCCAGAGGAAGGCUCGUCCGCUCUGGGUUAGUCGGGUCCUAAGCUGAGGCCGACAGGCGUAGGCGAUGGAUAACAGGUUGAUAUUCCUGUACCACCUAUAAUCGUUUUAAUCGAUGGGGGGACGCAGUAGGAUAGGCGAAGCGUGCGAUUGGAUUGCACGUCUAAGCAGUAAGGCUGAGUAUUAGGCAAAUCCGGUACUCGUUAAGGCUGAGCUGUGAUGGGGAGAAGACAUUGAGUCUUCGAGUCGUUGAUUUCACACUGCCGAGAAAAGCCUCUAGAUAGAAAAUAGGUGCCCGUACCGCAAACCGACACAGGUAGUCAAGAUGAGAAUUCUAAGGUGAGCGAGCGAACUCUCGUUAAGGAACUCGGCAAAAUGACCCCGUAACUUCGGGAGAAGGGGUGCUCUUUAGGGUUAACGCCCAGAAGAGCCGCAGUGAAUAGGCCCAAGCGACUGUUUAUCAAAAACACAGGUCUCUGCUAAACCGUAAGGUGAUGUAUAGGGGCUGACGCCUGCCCGGUGCUGGAAGGUUAAGAGGAGUGGUUAGCUUCUGCGAAGCUACGAAUCGAAGCCCCAGUAAACGGCGGCCGUAACUAUAACGGUCCUAAGGUAGCGAAAUUCCUUGUCGGGUAAGUUCCGACCCGCACGAAAGGCGUAACGAUUUGGGCACUGUCUCAACGAGAGACUCGGUGAAAUCAUAGUACCUGUGAAGAUGCAGGUUACCCGCGACAGGACGGAAAGACCCCGUGGAGCUUUACUGUAGCCUGAUAUUGAAAUUCGGCACAGCUUGUACAGGAUAGGUAGGAGCCUUUGAAACGUGAGCGCUAGCUUACGUGGAGGCGCUGGUGGGAUACUACCCUAGCUGUGUUGGCUUUCUAACCCGCACCACUUAUCGUGGUGGGAGACAGUGUCAAGCGGGCAGUUUGACUGGGGCGGUCGCCUCCUAAAAGGUAACGGAGGCGCUCAAAGGUUCCCUCAGAAUGGUUGGAAAUCAUUCAUAGAGUGUAAAGGCAUAAGGGAGCUUGACUGCGAGACCUACAAGUCGAGCAGGGUCGAAAGACGGACUUAGUGAUCCGGUGGUUCCGCAUGGAAGGGCCAUCGCUCAACGGAUAAAAGCUACCCCGGGGAUAACAGGCUUAUCUCCCCCAAGAGUUCACAUCGACGGGGAGGUUUGGCACCUCGAUGUCGGCUCAUCGCAUCCUGGGGCUGUAGUCGGUCCCAAGGGUUGGGCUGUUCGCCCAUUAAAGCGGUACGCGAGCUGGGUUCAGAACGUCGUGAGACAGUUCGGUCCCUAUCCGUCGUGGGCGUAGGAAAUUUGAGAGGAGCUGUCCUUAGUACGAGAGGACCGGGAUGGACAUACCUCUGGUGUACCAGUUGUCGUGCCAACGGCAUAGCUGGGUAGCUAUGUGUGGACGGGAUAAGUGCUGAAAGCAUCUAAGCAUGAAGCCCCCCUCAAGAUGAGAUUUCCCAACUUCGGUUAUAAGAUCCCUCAAAGAUGAUGAGGUUAAUAGGUUCGAGGUGGAAGCAUGGUGACAUGUGGAGCUGACGAAUACUAAUCGAUCGAAGACUUAAUCAA
rnacentral:rRNA from 103 species